rnacentral:rRNA from 1 species
GACGAACGCUGGCGGCGUGCUUAACACAUGCAAGUCGAGCGGUAAGGCCCUUUCGGGGGUACACGAGCGGCGAACGGGUGAGUAACACGUGGGUGACCUGCCCUCAGCUCUGGGAUAAGCCUGGGAAACCGGGUCUAAUACUGGAUAUGACUCCAUGACGCAUGUUGUGGGGUGGAAAGCCUUGUGCGGCUGGGGAUGGGCCCGCGGCCUAUCAGCUUGUUGGUGGGGUGAUGGCCUACCAAGGCGACGACGGGUAGCCGGCCUGAGAGGGCGACCGGCCACACUGGGACUGAGACACGGCCCAGACUCCUACGGGAGGCAGCAGUGGGGAAUCUUGCGCAAUGGGCGAAAGCCUGACGCAGCGACGCCGCGUGAGGGAUGACGGCCUCGGUUGUAAC